GUUUUUUUUUUGUAUAGCCUACAAAUCACAUUUUCUUUUCAAAACAGAAUUUCAUGGAUCAAUAGUGAACACAUAAAAGUUUCCACACUUUUUUGAAACUUUUAAAUAUGGUUAUUUAUUUAUUUUUCAAAAAAAUGUCCUCCAUGGUGCUCGAGCACCAUAACUUCGCACUCCUAAAUAGUGUUGAUUUCACAUGACACCUUUUUCCAUCAUGCGUGGGAAUGUUUUCCCUAGAUUCCCUCCACCUCACUACUCCCUUGCCUCUCACACCGCACACACAUCUCAAGUACAUGGAUAUAUUUUCCUUCUUAUACUUGAAACAAUUAUACAUUGAAACAAAUCUCGGAUAAAUAUUACGCUUGAGCGUGUGUGGUUCUUUUGAUGAUAUCUGCAAAGCAAGCCUAAUAUCGAAUAUGCUUUUGACAAUUUUGAAACACGGCGAAACUUAUAGGAAAUGGCCCGAACCACAAGAAACACAAUGCAACAUUAUGAUACACACACACUGGAACAAAUUAGCACACAAGCAGAAAAGAAACAUUAUAAUGGCUCCAAAACACGACGAAAUCCAAAAACAUUCGGUGAAGCACAACGAAACAUUGUGGUGUGCAACUGAAGAAGUCAGAAAAAUAAGGCAACACACAAGUACAAAACCAAACAUUACAAUGCAGCACAAAAUACGGUGAAACCCAACAAAAUUGGUUAAAGCAUACCCAAAAGCAAUGAGACAUUGUGGUGCACACCAGAUUAAGGCAGCACACCGACACAAAAUAAAACAUUAUGGUGUGCUCUAAAACAUGACGAACCCCAACAGAAUUAGGUAAUUAUUACUCUUAUAUUAUUGGAAGUUGAAUUUGUGUGUUACAUGUUAGAUGGUGCACUAAAUACAGACCACUCCUCAUAUGAAUAGUAAAAACUAUAUUGCAUUUGUGUUGUGAAUAAAUUUUAAAAAAAUUGGUCCUGUUUUACAGAACUCUUCUGAAUAAGCAUAAUUGUUUGAACAAAAUGUGAAUCAAGGUUAGCUUUUGUUACGAAAGAUAUCAGGCAUCAAAUUUCCAAAUGAAACUCAACUAAUUGUGGCUACCUUGGAGAGAGAAUCUGGCUUGGUUGAUACUUGCUAGGGAAUAUAAUAGCACAUGGUAAGAUGUUAGGUGAGAGAAAUUACUAUGCAUAUCCCAAUGAAGCAUGCAUGCACGAACCAGUGUCUUCACCAUAUGCACAACAACGGUGGUGGGGCGCUUGCAUAUAUACUAUGAAUAUCCAAGCGACUGAAAAGAUAAGGAUGCUAAAUAGCUAGUGUUUUCUGGCACUCCUUAUAUCGCAUUUCAUGUUUCUAUUUUGGUGCAAUGGGACGAUCAGCACAUGAUGCCUGCUGUUGCUGUAGGCUAGGUAACAUGCAUCCAAAACAUUUUGGUGCAAUGGGACGAUCAUAACUCACACGCAUCCCGGCUACAUGUGUCAAACAAAAUGAGAAACAUGGACCAUGAGUCCAUGUCCAUGCAUGUCUCCAUGAUGAUGAUGAACAUCAGUGUUAAGAUCACAGUGUUGAUGAUAUCUUGAUGUCACAACUUUGUUCGUCCAACCCAAUAACAUGCAUCUGGGCGAACAAUUUCCUUGAUAUAAUUCUAACGUUGAAGAUAUUUGGUUGAAUCCAUCAUUACUGAUGCUCAACUAGUCCAUGUGACAAGGUCCUAACUAGUAGCCUUAAUAAUAUAUAACAACAUAAUAAACCGGGAAUUUCAGAUCAUUAGAAACAGAAUAGAAUUAAUAAAGUUCAUUGCACACUUGAUAGAGCCAAUAACACAUGCAUUCCUAGUUCUAACAUCACACUGAUAAAGAGUAGUGAUAUCAUCACCACAAACAGAAGGGGGGAAAACAGUGAAAUCAAGGUAGUAACAUGCAUGCUCUACAACCUUGAUAAGCAAGCUAAGCUCUCGCGGAGCCAUUAUUGACAGAUCGAGCUCGCAAUCUCAUACAUAGCAGUACCAAAUGUUUCUUGCAAUACAUCAUCGAACCCAAAUCUAGUGAUCGACUACUAAGUAGUAACUGCAGGGAGGGAUCCAUACUAUAGAGAGUCCCGUAGCAGCUCCGGGUUCCGGCUCAAGCCAUGCCUUCCUGCGCUGCAGGCUGCAGCUCCUCUAGCUAGGCACCGCAACCGCCACCGCACCCUCCGCCACCGCCCCCUCCGCCUCCGCCCGCAGCAAGAAAGAGGAAGGUAUUACCGCCGGCUGAUUUGGUCGACGAACUUGCAGUGGUCGCCGCCGCCCGCUUUGCACUGGCCUUCUUCUUCUUGGAGGUGUCGCCGCAGAGGAAGACCGAUAUGACCAGCACCACCAGCAGUAGAAGGAGCCACGGAGUCUGCUGCGCCUGCGCCCCGAAGCCCGCUGCAGCGGCGGAGGCAAGAAAGGCUCGCGCCAUUGUCCCUCUCCCUCCCUGACCUCUAGCUACCACUGGAUAUCUCUCUGGAAUUUGAGUUUGGAUCAAGUGCAGAGGAAGAUUUGAGGAGGAAGACAGAGUAGCGAGCGAGAGAGGAAGAGGAACAGAGCACA
rnacentral:lncRNA from 1 species